ACACUGGGACUGAGACACGGCCCAGACUCCUGCGGGAGGCAGCAGUAGGGAAUCUUCGGCAAUGGACGAAAGUCUGACCGAGCAACGCCGCGUGAGUGAAGAAGGUUUUCGGAUCGUAAAGCUCUGUUGUAAGAGAAGAACGGGUGUGAGAGUGGAAAGUUCACACUGUGACGGUAUCUUACCAGAAAGGGACGGCUAACUACGUGCCAGCAGCCGCGGUAAUACGUAGGUCCCGAGCGUUGUCCGGAUUUAUUGGGCGUAAAGCGAGCGCAGGCGGUUAGAUAAGUCUGAAGUUAAAGGCUGUGGCUUAACCAUAGUACGCUUUGGAAACUGUUUAACUUGAGUGCAGAAGGGGAGAGUGGAAUUCCAUGUGUAGCGGUGAAAUGCGUAGAUAUAUGGAGGAACACCGGUGGCGAAAGCGGCUCUCUGGUCUGUAACUGACGCUGAGGCUCGAAAGCGUGGGGAGCGAACAGG
rnacentral:rRNA from 1 species